CGGCACGGGUGAGUAACACGUAUCCAACCUGCCGUCUACUCUUGGCCAGCCUUCUGAAAGGAAGAUUAAUCCAGGAUGGCAUCAUGAGUUCACAUGUCCGCAUGAUUAAAGGUAUUUUCCGGUAGACGAUGGGGAUGCGUUCCAUUAGAUAGUAGGCGGGGUAACGGCCCACCUAGUCAACGAUGGAUAGGGGUUCUGAGAGAAGGUCCCCCACAUUGGAACUGAGACACGGUCCAA
rnacentral:rRNA from 1 species